rnacentral:tRNA from 1 species
CUUCAGCGAGCUCACGCUCACUAUCGGAUCGUUUUAGAAACAUUCAGGGGCCAACAGUUUCAGGAUUGUUGAGCUCCAUUGGCGGGAUUUCGCCGUCUUCGUUUCUCUUUCUUCGCGGACGAACACGCGCCAGGGGCUGAGCGCUGUGCGAUGCACCGACUUCGAAGUCGGGUGCGCGCCGGCAUGUCUCUCGUGUUAGGGGCUUGUAGCUCAGUUGGUUAGAGCGCGCGCUUGAUAAGCGUGAGGUCGGAAGUUCAAGUCUUCCCAGGCCCACCAUUUUGAUCGAGUGCGGAGCAUUCGUCUUCUGGUACGGGGCCAUAGCUCAGCUGGGAGAGCGCGUGCUUUGCAAGCAUGAGGUCGUCGGUUCGAUCCCGUCUGGCUCCACCAGAUGGAAUUGAAGCUCGAGAAUGCCUCGAUCAUUUCGUCCGCGAAACAUCACUUCGCACUCAUUGGUCCGGAUGGACGGUGACGUGCGUGUUUUCUGACAUCGUAAAGAGGAGAUCGAUCCGAGUUUGGAUCCAGCGAAGCAAUUCGCGGGUACCAUUCCUAAUCUCCAGAUCGUUUUCGGCGCUCGUUCAUCGCAGCUCAUCGCAAGAUGAGUGAGGUGAGCGAGUUGUAAAACGAUCUUUGUAGCGAAGCUUGACCGCCUCGCUAUCGGGCCGAUCUUACGAAGCAAGCUGGUCUUUCUAGUCAAUGUCCGGCUGUGCAAUCGCAUCUUCGAGGGUGCGCGCCUUAAGUGGCAGUUGUGCAGACAACAUUCUGCCGAGUGUGUGGACAUUGAUAAUGAGAGC